rnacentral:rRNA from 1 species
GAGUGAGGGCCUCUGGGUCCAACCUCCCACCCAUGUUUAUUGUACCUUGUUGCUUCGGCGGGCCCGCCUCACGGCCGCCGGGGGGCUUCUGCCCUCUGGCCCGCGCCCGCCGAAGACACCAUUGAACACUGUCUGAAGAUUGCAGUCUGAGCAAUUAGCUAAAUAAGUUAAAACUUUCAACAACGGAUCUCUUGGUUCCGGCAUCGAUGAAGAACGCAGCGAAAUGCGAUACGUAAUGUGAAUUGCAGAAUUCAGUGAAUCAUCGAGUCUUUGAACGCACAUUGCGCCCCUUGGUAUUCCGGGGGGCAUGCCUGUCCGAGCGUCAUUGCUGCCCUCAAGCACGGCUUGUGUGUUGGGCCCCGUCCUCCUUCCCGGGGGACGGGCCCGAAAGGCAGCGGCGGCACCGCGUCCGGUCCUCGAGCGUAUGGGGCUUUGUCACCCGCUCUUGUAGGCCCGGCCGGCGCUUGCCGACAACCAUCAAUCUUCUUUCAGGUUGACCUCGGAUCAGGUAGGGAUACCCGCUGAACUUAAGCAUAUCAAUAAGCGGAGGAA